rnacentral:rRNA from 1 species
UUUCCGUAGGUGACCUGCGGAAGGAUCAUUAAUAAUGCUCUCUGGCUUCGGUCAGCUGAGUUCAAUGAGUGCCUUCUCUUCAGGAGUUGGCCAUCCACACACACCGUGAACUGUGGCUUCGGCCAUCACAAACUGUUAGUAAUGAAUGUAAUAUCAUAACAAAAACAAAACUUUUAACAACGGAUCUCUUGGCUCUCGCAUCGAUGAAGAACGCAGCGAAAUGCGAUAAGUAAUGUGAAUUGCAGAAUUCAGUGAAUCAUCGAAUCUUUGAACGCACCUUGCGCCCUUUGGUAUUCCGAAGGGCAUGCCUGUUUGAGUGUCAUGAAACCUCACCCCACUUGGGUUUUUGCCUGAGCGGUGGUGUAUUGGGUGUUGCCUUGCCAAAGGCUCGCCUUAAAAACAUAAGCACCUUGGAUGUAAUACGUUUCAUCCUUCUGGGUGGCUGAUAACCCCACAUAUUCAUGAUCUGGCCUCAAAUCAGGUAGGGCUACCCGCUGAACUUAAGCAUAUCAAUAAGCGGAGGAAAAGAAA